rnacentral:rRNA from 1 species
CUUUGACUUGGGGCAGAUAGCUGAGUAACACGUGCCUUUUCUGCCCUGUGGACCGGAAUAACCUCGCUAACGUGAGGCUAAUGCCGGAUAGUAGAGGAAUACUGGAAUGUUUCUUCUACGAAAUGACCUGUCGCCACAGGAUGAGACCGCGGCUGAUUAGGUAGUUGGUGAGGUAACGGCUCACCAAGCCGAUAAUCAGUAACAGUCGUGGAAGCGAGAGCUGUCAGUUGGCUUCUGAGACAAGAAGCCAGACCCUACGGGGUGCAGCAGGCACGAAACCUUUACAAUGCACGCAAGUGCGAUAAGGGGACUCCGAGUGUGGUCUUCCCACAAGGAAGGCCACUUUUCUGCACUGUAAGAAGGUGCCGGAACAAGGGGUGGGCAAUACUGCUGCCAGCCGCCGCGGUAAUAGCAGAACCCCAAGUGGUGGUCGUUAUUAUUGGGCUUAAAGCGUUCGUAGCCGGAGCUAUAAGUCCGCUGUGAAAUCCACUCGCUUAACGUGUGGGCGUGCAGCGGAUACUGUAGUUCUAGGGACCGGAUGGCGUCGAGGCUAUUCUCAGGGUAGGAGUGAAAUCCUAAAAUCCUGAGAGGAGCACCUGUGGAGAAAUCGCUCGACGAAUACGGAUCCGACGGUGAGGAACGAAAGCCGGGGGAGCAAAGCGGAUUAGAUACCCGCGUAGUCCCGGCCGUAAACAAUGUGCGUUUGAUGUCGAGCAACCCUCGUGGUUGCUCGGUGCCGAAGGAAAACCG